rnacentral:rRNA from 1 species
UACGUAGGGCGCAAGCGUUAUCCGGAAUUAUUGGGCGUAAAGAGCUCGUAGGCGGUUUGUUGCGUCGGCCGUGAAAACUUGGGGCUUAACUCCGAGCUUGCGGUCGAUACGGGCAGACUUGAGUUCGGCAGGGGAGACUGGAAUUCCUGGUGUAGCGGUGAAAUGCGCAGAUAUCAGGAGGAACACCGGUGGCGAAGGCGGGUCUCUGGGCCGAUACUGACGCUGAGGAGCGAAAGCGUGGGGAGCGAACAGG